AGCAGCAGAAACAAUCCAUAUCAGAUUCUGUCAGUUUCUAAAGGGCGAGAAGAAAGACAGAAAACACCUUGCUUACUCAUUAAGCAUUUAUUUAGCACCAACUACGUGCUAGCUUUGCACUGAUCACUGGAAGACAAAGGCCAGACAAGCCUAUGGACACUGAAAGUGCUUCUCUCUCUCUCCUAGCUCCUGUUUCUCAUUCUUCCUGUCUGCUCAGCUUAGGUGCACUUCGCAAGUAAUACAGACACUCAGACCCUGCAGUAUGGAAUCCAACAUUUCACCUUCUCUGACGGGAUCCUUCAUAGAAUGUGAUGGUCUUAGCCCCCAUGCUCAAAGAAAAUCAGCAAAAUCUAAUUUCCAAAAUAUUCCCUACAAUCCUCCAACACACAAGCUCAGCCAAAUGAAAUUAAAUUCUGCCUUUUCUUGAAGGUGAGUCUUUUUUUCAGCGUGAGCAAUAGAGUCAUGUUUCAUUUCAAAUCCCCAAACACCGAGGCUAUUGAUCUUGUUAAAUGUGAAGAUUAAUAUUUCUGAAGUGUCUACAUGGAGGGAAAUAUCUAGACAAUUACAAGUAACAUCCAAUAAAGAAACAUAAUAAAUAUUGAACAAGUUGAAAGAACUAGCAAUACAGGAGAAGAGUUAGAUCAGAAUAUGUGUAUGUUUGUGUGGAGAGAGGUGGAGACAGAGCAAUUACUACUUAUUACUCUCUCUCAACUUAUAUUUUUAUCAGGACAAGGUCAAGUCCAGUCCUAGCCCCAGAGUUUAUACCUCUCUUCCUAGUCUCUUCUAUUAAAACUUAAAAUCCAAACAUAUGAUGAGAAAUAAGGAUGGAACACCUGAAUUUUCAGUGAAAACCGUGGCCCCUAGGAGCCAGCAAUGCAUUAUCAAGAAGGAAGAUCUUCAUUCUAGCAUACAUACAGAAUAAGAAAUAGGGAGGCAAAAUCAGAUUAGAGCUGCUGAUGUUCAUACCCUCUGAAAUGCAGCAGGUACCCAGGAAGGAAAGGAGGAUGAGGUGUGGGAGAUGAUGGAGCAGAAGACGGCCAGGAGCCUGGCAGACGGAGAACCUCGUGGAGCCAGAGUUUGUACCCAAGCCAUGGAUGCCCUGCCUCCUGUGACUGGCAGCCAAACAUGACUGUUAACUUGGAUAGAUCUUGAUUCCGCUUUAGGAGAAAUUUGGAAAUGUUGCACAUGGUUAGGAAAGAAGUUCAUGUAACUUAAAAGGUUAAAAAUAAGCAUACAAAAAAGUAUCGAUAGAUUGGUUGUUCAGUCACUGAGUCGUGUCUGGCUGUUGAAACAGGCUCCUCUGUCCAUGAGAUUAAACAGGCAAGAAUA
rnacentral:lncRNA from 1 species